rnacentral:rRNA from 1 species
UACGGAGGGUGCAAGCGUUAUCCGGAAUCACUGGGUUUAAAGGGUGCGUAGGCGGUAAAGUAAGUCAGUUGUGAAAUUCCAUGGCUUAACCAUCGGGACUGCGAAUGAUACUGCUAUACUUGAAUCAGGUUGAGGUGAGCGGAAUGUGGCAUGUAGCGGUGAAAUGCAUAGAUAUGCCAUAGAACACCGAUUGCGAAGGCAGCUUGCUGGGCCUUGAUUGACGCUGAGGCACGAAAGCGUGGGGAGCAAACAGG